rnacentral:rRNA from 1 species
AGAGUUUGAUCAUGGCUCAGAACGAACGCUGGCGGCGUGCUUAACACAUGCAAGUCGAACGCGAAAGGUUUCUUCGGAGACCGAGUAGAGUGGCGCACGGGUGAGUAACGCGUAAGUAAUCUACCCCUGUAUCCGGGAUAACACACCGAAAAGGUGUGCUAAUACCGGGUACGUUCAUUAAGGUGCGAAUCUUUAUGAAGAAAGGUGGCCUCUUCUUGAAAGCUACCGUACAGGGAUGAGCUUGCGUACCAUUAGCUAGUUGGUAGGGUAACGGCCUACCAAGGCGACGAUGGUUAGCGGGUCUGAGAGGAUGAUCCGCCACACUGGAACUGGAACACGGACCAGACUCCUACGGGAGGCAGCAGUGAGGAAUAUUGCGCAAUGGGGGAAACCCUGACGCAGCGACGCCGCGUGGAUGAUGAAGGCCCUUGGGUCGUAAAAUCCUGUCAGAUGGAAAGAAGUGCUACAUAGCUAAUAUCUGUGUAGUUUGACGGUACCAUCAAAGGAAGCACCGGCUAACUCCGUGCCAGCAGCCGCGGUAAUACGGAGGGUGCAAGCGUUGUUCGGAAUUACUGGGCGUAAAGCGCGCGUAGGCGGUCUGUUAAGUCAGAUGUGAAAGUCCCCGGCUCAACCCGUGGAAGUGCAUUUGAAACUGGCAGACUUGAGUAUUGGAGGGGGUGGUGGAAUUCCCGGUGUAGAGGUGAAAUUCGUAGAUAUCGGGAGGAAUACCGGUGGCGAAGGCGACCACCUGGCCGAAUACUGACGCUGAGGUGCGAAAGCGUGGGGAGCAAACAGGAUUAGAUACCCUAGUAGUCC